rnacentral:rRNA from 1 species
AAUACAUGCAAGUCGAGCGAACCGAUUAAGAGCUUGCUCUUAAGAAGUUAGCGGCGGACGGGUGAGUAACACGUAGGUAACCUGCCUAUAAGACUGGGAUAACUCCGGGAAACCGGGGCUAAUACCGGAUAACAUUUUGCACCGCAGGUGCGAAAUUGAAAGGCGGCUUCGGCUGUCACUUAUAGAUGGACCUGCGGCGCAUUAGCUAGUUGGUGAGGUAACGGCUCACCAAGGCGACGAUGCGUAGCCGACCUGAGAGGGUGAUCGGCCACACUGGGACUGAGACACGGCCCAGACUCCUACGGGAGGCAGCAGUAGGGAAUCUUCCGCAAUGGACGAAAGUCUGACGGAGCAACGCCGCGUGAGCGAUGAAGGCCUUCGGGUCGUAAAGCUCUGUUGUUAGGGAAGAACAAGUGCUAGUUGAAUAAGCUGGCACCUUGACGGUACCUAACCAGAAAGCCACGGCUAACUACGUGCCAGCAGCCGCGGUAAUACGUAGGUGGCAAGCGUUAUCCGGAAUUAUUGGGCGUAAAGCGCGCGCAGGUGGUUUCUUAAGUCUGAUGUGAAAGCCCACGGCUCAACCGUGGAGGGUCAUUGGAAACUGGGAGACUUGAGUGCAGAAGAGGAAAGUGGAAUUCCAUGUGUAGCGGUGAAAUGCGUAGAGAUAUGGAGGAACACCAGUGGCGAAGGCGACUUUCUGGUCUGCAACUGACACUGAGGCGCGAAAGCGUGGGGAGCAAACAGGUUAG